UCUUGUAAUGAAAAAAAUAAAAUAUUAUUAAUAACUUUAGAACUAAAUUAAUUGAAACUAUAAAACUAAAAUAAUUGAUCGCCUCAAAGUUAAACUUUUAUGGAGAGAUAUAUUUUAAUAUACUCCUCUAACUCUCGAAUGGAUUAUUUCUACAUAUUUUAUUUGAUGAUAUGAAGCUAUAAAUACUUUCGAUCAGUUUAUCAGAUGGUUAGAUUGUAUUUUGACCCCCUGGAUAUCCUC
rnacentral:lncRNA from 1 species